rnacentral:lncRNA from 1 species
UGUCUUCAUCGUUAUCGUAGUUAAUCCUGCACACACACAAGCAAAAACUCUACUCCGAUCUAGACAAUUAUUACAAUGCGAAUUGACAUUCUGUUGCCCAGCACGUCAUUGGUUGGCGCUUCGUCCGAUUCUUCAGCGCAUCGUCCUCUCUUGCGGCUUGUUGCCCAAUCGGCGGUUGACCUCCGCAACCCCGAUAUCCUUGGC